UGGCUCAGGACGAACGCUGGCGGCGUGCCUAAUACAUGCAAGUCGAGCGGAUCGAUGGGAGCUUGCUCCCUGAGAUCAGCGGCGGACGGGUGAGUAACACGUGGGUAACCUGCCUGUAAGACUGGGAUAACUCCGGGAAACCGGGGCUAAUACCGGAUAAYUCAGUUCCUCGCAUGAGGAACUGUUGAAAGGUGGCUUUUCGCUACCACUUACAGAUGGACCCGCGGCGCAUUAGCUAGUUGGUGAGGUAACGGCUCACCAAGGCAACGAUGCGUAGCCGACCUGAGAGGGUGAUCGGCCACACUGGGACUGAGACACGGCCCAGACUCCUACGGGAGGCAGCAGUAGGGAAUCUUCCGCAAUGGACGAAAGUCUGACGGAGCAACGCCGCGUGAGUGAAGAAGGUUUUCGGAUCGUAAAACUCUGUUGUUAGGGAAGAACAAGUGCCGUUCGAAUAGGGCGGCACCUUGACGGUAC
rnacentral:rRNA from 2 species